GAAAAUAAAUAUGUUCGGUAUCCGCAUUGACUCUACAAGUGAGCAGUUCAACUACUUAAUAGAUGAAGAUCAGUCUAUAGGUUUAGAUGGAACUGGGACACAUGGACCAAAUUCAUUAUUAAGCAUGUUCCAUCAUUGUUUACAGAAUUACGGAUUUGGCGAGAAAGGACUUUAUCUUACAUGCAGAUAAUUGCGGAGGUCAAAAUAAGAAUAGAUACACACUGGCCUAUCUUUGUUGGAGAGUAAACAGAGGGUUACAUGAACACAUUCAAUUGAAUAUGGCUAUUCCCGGGCAUACAAAAAUAAGUACCUUGAUAUAUUUAUACAUAGCAUUGUUGCGGCAUAUUCGUAAGCGUUGGUUAUGUUACUAAAGUAAUAAAAAUCCUUAUGUUUCGUCACAAAAUUAAAUAAAAUCCUCAUAUUUUAUUCAGAUAUAAGUGAACACAUAGUUAAGUAACAGCCUACUCAAAAAUAAUGUGACGAAGUGGAUUUUACUACUACAGUGUUUUUAUGUUUAUAUGAUAACUAAUUUGUUUUGUACUGUCAUUCUUUAAUUCUUGUACUUUAUUUUUUAUCUAAGGUGUCUUGUCGAUGGUGGCUUCGGGCGAAUUAAAAAGCUAUUCAAGAGGUCUGAUUGGGAGAGUCUGAGUCAAUUUGCAGACAUUGUGGAUAAAAUCGGCAAGGAACAAUUUCCCUGUUUUAUAUCGAAAUGAAAACAAUGAUCAAACAUGGAAAUGGUAUGACUGGAAGUCGUAUUUGACGCGAUAUUUCCUAACUCGGCUGUGUUUGUAAAGGAAAGAACAGAUAGCGAGGAGAUUAGAGUUCCGCUGAUAAGAAGUAAUACUGAAGUUCUAACAACAACCUUUCCCGAGGUCAUACAGCCCGCAGGAUUAAGUCGUACACGGCGCGAAAUAUUUAUACCGUAACGUUAGAAAAUAUGUGCGUCCUGCAUACCAAGAUGCCACG